GGAGUGUCUACUUUUACAAAUGGUAGGCCUUUGUGGGGGUUUUUUGAACAGUCAAACUGUUAUAAUACCCCAAAUGGAAGCUAAGGCUUAUUAAAUCCAUCUCUCAAAAUUCUACUGUGAAUACUGUAAAGGACAGGUCUCCUAUAUGACACUGUAGCUUCACGAAAUAGUGCCAAAGACAUUCAUAUGGGGUGUCAUUUUACUCAGAAGACUUAGCUGAGCAUAAU